CACGGGUUCUAGGGGUUUCGGUACCUUCCAUUGACAUUGAGUUCUCCUAGAUAUGCCCUCGGUGAUGCCGGGGUAUUU
rnacentral:ncRNA from 19 species